AAUUCGUUUUUAUAGAGUGUCAAGCCUUUUCAAUAAAGAGACGGUAAAUAUUGCAAAGUUUGUGGGUCAUUUGGUUUCUCAAAACUAGUCAAUGCUACCAAGUAGACAGAAAUCAGAUAUAGACAACACAUAAGCAAAUGGGCAUGACUGAAUUCCAAUAAAACUUUAUUUACAAACACAGUGGUGCACUGGAUUUUGCCUAUGGAUUAUAGUUUGCUGGACUUUUUUUCUGGACAUAUAAUACAAGUCCCUUUUUUUCUAUUUCCAAGUCACUCAGAUAAUGUAAAAUCCUAAUAAUCAAAUGCCCUAUUGCUCUGCCAACCAAUUUUAAACUGCGACCAAAUGCUUAAUAUUUGUGAACAUCCUUGUGGAAUCUGAUUUGUAGUCUUUCAUCUUCUGACAGCACUUGGUAUAGGUCCAUUAGAAUGCAACCAACAAGGACAGAAGAUAGCAGAAAAAACAAGCAGCGGAGCAAGUGUCCACAACCCUUGACUCUGAUGGGCACAAGCAUAGGUCUCAUCACCAAGAAAAGAGGUUUAGAAACAAUGUCUCAUGAUAUCAGAAGAUGUUAUGUCCCCGCUUUAUGCUAGCACAUCAUCUGAUACAGAAUAAAACGCAGUAAAUCAGGGAAUAAAUGAUGAGUACAGGGGAUUCUGGCUCACAAAAAAAUCAUUUUCAGCAUGGACUGCCUGAGUUUAUGAUAAUAUUGACAUCACCUUCAAGAAAUUCUCCCUGUUUUUUUUCUUUAACUCAUCUAUGGAGUGAUAACAUUUUCUUAGCUGUUUUUGUCUCCAUAAUUAAAAUAGGUAUUAGUGCCUAAGUGAAUUCUGUAGUAAGGAUAUAGCAAAAUGCUUGCCAUAUAGAGGGCAUAACAGUUUGUAGAAUGAAUGGAUGGAUGGAUGCAAAGCAUCAGACAGAAUGUUUCAAGUGAGAAAUCUAUCCUAAUCUGAAACAUACCAUUAGGUAGGAACUCUAGACAGACAGAUGGAUAGAUAGAUAGAUAGCUUUAGCUGUAAAUAUUAAAUAAUAAUAGAGACAUAGAAACAGGACAAGGUGGAAGCUUAAUAAUUAUUACCUAUAACAGAGGAAUUCCCUCAGGAAGAAUUUACCUAAGCCUUCUAUGUGCUUCCUUGGUUCCUUGUUCAUUAUGACAUUUAGCUUAGGAAGUUGGAAUUAGUUAUUUCUGCUUUGUCUCCAUUUCUUAAUCAUGAGACUCUUGAAGACAGGAAUCAUAGUUGACUCAGGAAUUAUAGUUGUUUCAUCUCUCUCUCUCUGUCUCAGACCCCAAUGCAUUUCUUCUAUGACUCACUGCAAGGCUUUAUAUAAUAAUAAAAAAAACCUUCACAACUAUUUGAAGAAUAAAGGAUUUUGGAUGCCUGGCAAAAGAAUGUAAGUGCUAUCACUUCAGGACUACCAAGAUGGUAUUUCUCUAGCUCAGAGUUUCACCUGCGGUUAUCACUUCCCACAUGGAAAGGGACUGGGUUUCACUGCAGGAGCUCUGAGUUCUAUUGUGGUUAAGUCCAGUCCCCUUUGGUGAGGCUGAGAUGAGGACUAGUCUGGAUACAACUCCUGAAACUAAAGGUGCAUUAAAUCACAGUGAUGUAGCUGUCAUCCAAAUCCUGGAGGCCACUCUGGCAAAUCAUCCUAACCCCUUUGUCCAAGGAUAUAUUUUUCUUUGGCUUGAGUGUUUACAAUGUAACCAUAAUCCUAGUUAAGCAUCAUCCUUUACCUGUAAAUGCUACUGUCAGAGCAUGACAUACUGGAAACUUAAAGCUAUUUUAAAUGUAGGGCUUUGAGAAAUAAAAAAACUAAUUAGCUUCUCACUAUCAAUUUUUUUUUGCAUUUGAAAUUUCCUUUGUUGAGUUUACUUAAAAUAUGGAAUAUCCUUUGUGAAAAUAGAACAUUCCUGCUAUUAAACUGAAAAUGACAAUGACGAUAGCACUUUGACAAGAUAACACAGUGAUAAAAACAUUUUGUAGCAAACACUUCAUAUGCCAGAAUUAGAAUCAAGCAAACACUCUUUUCCCUUCCUGAAGCAUUACAGAAAAGAGGAAAAACCUUUUUAGAGAGGAAGAAAAAAUAUUUUUUGACAUGUGCAUCUUAGCUUGGUUACAAGAGCUAAGAAACCAAUACAACCUAGCAACAUGCUGGCCCAAACUGGCCAACAAUAAAAUAGAAAGGGGAAAAAAUAAACCUCCAGUGCCAGAUCCAUCUCAAGUGGAAAUUUUCUUGGUGCUUGAGCACCAGAGUCAUCAUUAAACUCUGGAGAAAUUCCCCAGCCUCAGGAACACUGGAAACAAAUACCCAAAUGAGGGUACUAUUUAUUUAAAAUAAGGGUACCAUACUGAAAGUGAUUCAAGAAGUAUGAAGGCUAGAGAGAGCAAAUGAAGGAAUGAAUGAAGGAGAGACCAACAGGACAGAAGACAGAGAUCUUACUGCAGUGGGCCAGAGAUGAUAUCUGGGUGUCUGGAUACGACGUGAGUGCAGGCGUACACAUGAACAGCUCAUGGUUCCCCACCAAUCCUCCUCGAUGAGUAUUCAUUGUCUGAAAUGGAAACCUCAUAAGCCAGUUAUGAGCACUAAGCAGGAUCUAACUUCCCAUCCUGAUUUGGCAUUAUGUAAACCUCUGUGAGCUCAAUGGAUUUCCAGGGGCCUAAGGUCUUCAUCUAUGGAGUGGGAGUAAGGCAUGAUCCUUUAGGAGCCUUUGCUAGUGGUGAAAAGAAUUCACCAUCCCUAUGUAGCCCGUAAAGACUGUAGAAUCACAUGAUGGCUCGUUUUUUCUAAGUAAUACUUAGUGAAAGUUUAAUCUAAAGUCAACUACAUCAUGUGCUCAAGUCAACUAAAGUACUAUUAUAAUGCAGAGCACCAACAUAUUAAUGGAAUAUGAGGAAGGUUCCAUUAAAAUUUUCCUAUUUAUGUAGUGUUCUAUUGUCCAAAAAGUACUUUCUCAUUGAGUCUCAUGUUUGAACCUCACAACAAGCAGAGUGAAAAAGGUCUAAUGAUUAUUCCAGAUUUACAAAUGAAAACAUUGAGGCUUAGUAAGACCCAACGAUGUAACUGAAGACCCAUCUUUGACCACAGGCCUUAUGUGCUGACUAUAUCCCACAGCUUUUUUCAUCCAGUCUUCCCUCACCUUUAAUUAUGAAAGAGGAACACUUUUUGAGAAAAAUAUGCUAAAGUAGCCAUGACAGAGCAGAGAAGGCUCAGGUCAGGACAGCUGUGAUACAUUACAGAAAUGACCGGCAGUGACUCUUCUUCAAAGAACGUGUUUGAGGUAAGCUCAGGUGCUCAGAUGCUCUCUCUUAAAUCCAUGCAGACAGGGUGGAGCUGAUGCUUGUUCUGAGGUCCCCAUAAUAGCCAGGACUAAUGUGAAUGCACUCUCUGUCUCACAUCCACACCUCCUUUAUUGUCUCUUGAAAGUACACAAAGGGGACCAUAGGGAAUGGCAGGGAAAGGUUUCUUAACCUUGGAAAGGCAUUAGUACCAGCUGUGUCCUGAGGUAUAAACACGCUAAGUCAAACAAAACCCAAGAGAGGGCAGGAGAAAAGGAACAAGUGAAUCAAGUGUUCUGUUUACAGUCCUUGCAGGCAAAUAUUUUUUUUUCAACUAAUGAAAGAUCCAUUCAUGAAGCCCUAUCUCCCAAUUAAGCAGGCACUUUCCAUCAGGCACGACAGCAGAUGCUCUUUACCGGAUCAAGCCAGGCCCCCUGAUACAGUGAGCCCUGUGUGAGGACCACAGCUGGCAUCCCAAAGUCAGCAGAGUCCUGCACAGGGUGGGCCCAGGUCGGGGCUGGAUGGUGGGAAGUGCAGUGUGUUCACCUCCACCCUCUUCUGCAAGUGAGCUUACACAGGGAAAUCCAGAGUAGAAGUGAACAGUUCAAAACAGGGGUUCCAACUGUUAAGAAGAAGGGUGAGUGGAUGAAAAGAAGUAAAUAUUAGUUGAAUACCUAUUAUGGGCCAAGAACUAGGCCAGACACUGGCAUGUUAUCUAGCUCAAUUAACAGCAACACUCUGCUUGGCACAUAUUCACAGUAAGGCUCAGGCAGGGGAAGCAACCUAGCUAGACGCAAAUGUCCAGGAACUGGCAAUGAGAUGUGUAUUGAGGUUGCAAUGAUUCCAGAGACUCUGUUUGUUCCUUUUAUAGCUUCCUGAUGAUUUGUUCGGUUUAUGCAUCUAAGCUUCAGCACCAUGUGAUAGAAAGGGAACUUGUGUUUUGUUCCUAGCUGAGAAACUUUUUGGCUUUCUGCCAAAUGUGGGGCAUCAGUUGAGGUGAUUUCUAAGGAACAUUUAAGAUCUGGUAAUGUUCCAAUUCUGUGGCAUAUAGGAGCUUUUUGUACUUAAAUGUAGCAAGAUAUCAGUGGUUUUGAGGUUGUGCCCCACAAAAUACCAAUUUGCUUUGGGUAACUCUAUAUGCACAUCCUUGCCUUUAUGGGCAACCUGACUCCUAUGGCCUCAGUUGCAUCAUUAGUAAAACAGAUAACAAAAACUCUGCCUACAAUCAUUCAAAAAUUCGCAAGGAGAACCAACUGAGUUUAUAGUACUUUGUAUGCAAAGAGUUAUUUUACAGAUAAAAUCAGCAUCAUUGUUCUUCCAGGGGCUAGCUUACAGGGUUCCUGAUCAUUCACUGGUAGCCAGGACUGCCUCAGUAAACAGAACUUUGGGUAUGGUUCUGUUUACCAUAUUAUGCUCCAGGUGACCAACUGAGGUUCUGGCUGACCAUCCUUGGUCACUCCCUGACUAAGGAAUAAAUCCUGAAGGAAAAAGAAGAAAACGUUGAUACUUGUACCCUAGGGUGAAUGAAUGAAGCUAUGAAAGUAUCUGUCCCUAGCAGGUUGCCACACAAUAUCCAUAAUAUCAUUUCUUCCUAACAACAACCCUGAUAAAAGGAAAAAAUAUCUUCUUCAUUUUACAGGGAUGAGGACAGGACCCCGAAUACAGAUGCUUCAGAUGCUUCUGAAAAUCAUAUUUAUGAAGAAUUGCUUAAGCACUGAGGAUGGCCAUCCAAAUGGAGAGACGACUGAAGAGAUUUGAAGCAACCUUCUGAAAUAAACCAAACUGUAUUAUUUGAAGAUCAUUCUCUGAAGUCCAAAGAUGAAACAGAUCAAACACCAUAUCAUUUGUUAAGAGUACUUCUACAAAUUGGGGUUGCUGUACUCCAGAAAAUCAAAGAACUAAGGUAACAAGUAAAUCUUUGUA